AUACGCCCUACGGGGGAAAAAUUUAUUGCUAUUAGAUGAGCCUAUAUUAGAUUAGCUAGUUGGUAGAGUAAUAGCCUACCAAGGCAAUGAUCUAUAGCUGAUCUGAGAGGAUGAUCAGCCACACUGGAACUGAGAUACGGUCCAGACUCCUACGGGAGGCAGCAGUGGGGAAUAUUGGACAAUGGGCGAAAGCCUGAUCCAGCCAUGCCGCAUGAGUGAAGAAGGCCUUUGGGUUGUAAAGCUCUUUUAGUGAGGAAGAUAAUGACGGUACUCACAGAAGAAGUCCUGGCUAACUCCGUGCCAGCAGCCGCGGUAAUACGGGGAGGGCUAGCGUUAUUCGGAAUUAUUGGGCGUAAAGGGCGCGUAGGCUGGUUAAUAAGUUAAAAGUGAAAUCCCGAGGCUUAACCUUGGAAUUGCUUUUAAAACUAUUAAUCUAGAGAUUGAAAGAGGAUAGAGGAAUUCCUGAUGUAGAGGUAAAAUUCGUAAAUAUUAGGAGGAACACCAGUGGCGAAGGCGUCUAUCUGGUUCAAAUCUGACGCUGAAGCGCGAAGGCGUGGGGAGCAAACAGGAUUAGAUACCCUGGUAGUCCACGCUGUAAACGAUGAAUGUUAAAUAUGGGAAGUUUGCUUCUCUGUAUUACAGUC
rnacentral:rRNA from 1 species